GUGAUGCGCCGCCCUACCGCUGCGCGAACCGGGCAACCGGGGAGCGGAGAGGAAAGUCCGGGCAACGCAGAGCGCCCUGCUUCCUAACGGGAAGGACGGCGGCUGGGAACGGCCGCCGGACAGCAAGUGCCACAGAAAACUACCGCCAGGCGGUGAAAUGGUGAUUGGUGAACUAGUGAGUUUGACGUUCAACGGCACUCACCAUUUCACAAUUUCACCAACUCACCAUCCGGUAAGGGUGAAAAGGUGCGGUAAGAGCGCACCAGCGGGCGGGUGACCGUCCGGCUGGGUAAACCUCAGGGGUUGAAAGGCCAAAUAGGCCGGCAGGCGGGGCCGCAAGGCCUCGCACCGGGUGGCUCGCCCGGUGUCGGCGGGUAGGCUGAUGGAGCCCGCGCGCGAGUUCGGGCCUAGAUAAAUGGUGGGGCCGCAGCCGCAAGGCGGCGGACAGAACCCGGCUUACAGGCGCAUCACCUAA
rnacentral:RNase_P_RNA from 2 species